rnacentral:lncRNA from 12 species
UAUCCUGCUGCCCUGCAAUUCACCAUGAUGCGUGUGGCAAGAUGUGUAGAGAAGAAGCCACUGGGGACAAGGAGACCAUGGGCAUAAGAAAGCAGAGAGUGGGUGGUCAGGUGGCACUGGAUCCAUGUGGAGAGGAAGACCACUAAACCCAAAGGACAACAGAUGACCCAAAGGACAGCAAGACAAAGGGGAGAGGCUGGUACAGUCCAGAAGGAGGCUGGAUCCUGCAGCCAGAGGGGAGGCUAUGAUUCAGGAGAGACUGCUCUGAGAUUAAGGAGAUAAUGCAGCAUGGGAGGAGAGACUGCCUCUGCUUAGAUGCUACAGGAGAAGCGGGGACGGGUCAACUGUCAGCUUUUAAUGAGGUCAAAAGAGAAGCAAACUUCUACCAAGUAGUCUAGCAUUUAUAGAAGCUUGAUAGCUAAGGCCCAGGUGUCCCAAAGGAUGCAGUGAAAGGUUUGGGAAGGAGGGAAAGCAAAGGUUAUCAUGAGCAGGAUCCAGGCAUAGGCAGAGCAGAUGAGUACACAGGGCUGCAUUUUAUGGAUAUAAUCAUCUGUGUGUGUUCGCUAAUAUUUCAGUAGACCAAGAUAACUAGGUCAACCUUAGAUAAGGCAGGGAUGAGAAACUCUCGAGAUUACAGAGAACAGAUGUCAGCUUUAGCAUCUGUGUAGCCCUGGUAAGCUGAAAAGAUUAAGAACAGAUAGCAAGCAUGAUGCCUGGGCCUUGUCCUCCCAGUGUUGAGGGAGGGGAGGAAGAACAGAAGCAAAGCCUCCUUAGACCUAAAAGCAUCCAGUACAGCUGGGCAAAGCCUGAAGGGAUGAUUAAAAAUAGAGAACUGAGAUGGAAACCAAUGGAAAAAUAGAGUCUUCACCUGCAAAAAGACCUGCCUUUGGCCUUCUUCAUUCAUGCAGCCAACUAGAGCAUCUCCUGCCUUACCCUCCUGGAGCCCCGAUGUUAGACUUUGGCUCUGCUUCUCCCUCCAUGGCGUCUGGCACUCUGAGGACCUGUGACAUCAGGUCCUAAAUGGAGCUGCCAGCACCCAGGUGAGCAGUGCUGGCCUGGGGGAGGAAUGGGCUGGGUGUGUUUGCCUGGGAAGUUUGUGUCAUGUACAAAGGUGACCCGCAGAGGGUGAGAGCGAGGUUGGGGUCCAGCAGGUGCCCUGCACUCACCCCUCUGGAAACCUGGAGUGGGUAGCAUCUGCUCCAGGAAGAUUCUUUGCACCAAGAGUUCUCUGCUCCUCAAGUCCUGCAUCAUCUUGGUGGCAAGUGGAGAGUGUGUUCCCCAAGGGAGGGGUCCUUUUUCUAUUUUGCAGAAAGGAUGAGUUUGGCUGGUCCUACGUGGAGAGUGCAAAGUGGGAAC